ACGUGGUGACGAUUCGGCGACUAU
rnacentral:siRNA from 1 species